AAGACCUUGCGCUUUUGGAGCGGCCGAMGCCUGAUUAGCUUGUUGGUAAGGUAAAAGCUUACCAAGGCUUCGAUCAGUAGCUGGUCUGAGAGGACGGCCAGCCACACUGGGACUGAGACACGGCCCAGACUCCUACGGGAGGCAGCAGUGGGGAAUUUUGGACAAUGGGGGCAACCCUGAUCCAGCCAUGCCGCGUGAGUGAAGAAGGCCUUCGGGUUGUAAAGCUCUUUCAGCCGGAACGAAACGGUUACGGUUAAUACCCGUGAUUACUGACGGUACCGGAAGAAGAAGCACCGGCUAACUACGUGCCAGCAGCCGCGGUAAUACGUAGGGUGCGAGCGUUAAUCGGAAUUACUGGGCGUAAAGGGUGCGCAGGCGGUUUUGUAAGUCAGAUGUGAAKUCCCCGGGCUUAACCUGGGAACU
rnacentral:rRNA from 1 species